AUUUAAAUAGUUUAAUAAAAUAAAAUAUUAGAGUGUGGAUCUAAAGAUAUAAAAUAAAUAUUUUAAAUU
rnacentral:tRNA from 1 species